GCUACGGUGGUCUAGCGGUUAGAACGCUGGCCUUGUAAUCCUGGGGUCCCGGGUUCAAUUCCCGGUGUUGCU
rnacentral:tRNA from 1 species